CUUAACCGAUAGGUGACAGGCAGGGUAAUCAAAAACGAUUAUUGGUUAUAUCGAUAAAAAAAAGUCAUCUGAUCGAUAUAUAUUAGUUCUUACUAUAUAAUGGCAUUAGAACUCGAAAUUUGGCGGCUAUCGUUAAAUUAGGAGUUAAAAUGCUCAACUUUAAUUUAAUCGCUGCUAUUAGUGAAAAUUUUGGUAUUGGUGUGAAAGGUGAACUACCAUGGCGUCUAAGGUCAGAGCUCAAAUAUUUUUCAUCUACUACAAGACGACGUUUAGAUCAAAAAAAACAGAAUGUUGUCAUAAUGGGACGAAAAACUUAUUUUGCCAUACCUGAAGAUAAGCGCCCUCUAUCUGAUCGGCUUAAUGUAGUAUUAAGUACAACGCUUAAGACCACAGACCUACCAGAAAAUGUGUUGCUUUAUCCUAACCUGGAAACGGCAAUGGAACAUUUGGAACAAUCUGAUUUAAGUCAACAAAUAGAAACUGUAUGGCUUAUUGGUGGUGGUGGAGUGUAUAAAGAGGCCAUAGUUUCACCACGUUGUAACAGAAUAUAUUUAACAAAGAUUCUUCGACAAUUUGAGUGUGAUACUUUUUUCCCCGAGAUUCCAGCAGAUUUUCAAGAAGUGGAAUUGGAUCAAGAAAUACCAAUGGGAAUACAAGAAGAAGGUGUUCCUCUUUGUCUCUUCUCAGUUAACGGAAAUAUCGAGUUCCCAGUACCUGUAACCAAAAUUUCCGCGUCUGAACACCAUUUAGUUGUCCAAAGUGUUUGUAAAUGGAAGUUCCAGCAAGUGUUGCCUAAACUCUAAAAUUUUCCAUUCAGUAAAUUUCUAUUUUUAUAUUUAGUUUAUAAGUUUGUUUGUAUAAUUUCUAUAGGACAAGCAUCACUUAAAUUUCUUUAUUGUUAAGGAAAACGCAACACUGUUCAGAACGUGCUAGAAUAUUUGUCAUCGAUAAUUUAUAAAUGUGUUGGAAGUAGCGUGCUACCGCCAUUCCUUGAAAAAGUGUGUGUCUAGUCGGACGCGUAUAACACGAGAAAAAAUUGUAGUUAGAAGUGAAGUAACAAAUUGCGAUUAAAUAAUUUCAGUGCAUUUUUAAUAAAAA